UUUAUUUUUAAUUUUAAUGAAUGGAACCUUGAUUUAUUCUUACAUAUUUAUGCCCUUCCUAAGAAGUGACAGCAGAAUUUGCCUGUGUCAGUACGUGUAUUUGGAUAUAUACACAGGCUGUUGAAUAAGGGUGGUACAAAGCAUGGGUAAUUAUGAAAUAAUGAUGAUCUGUGGCCAGAUCAUGCUCAGCUCCUGCUUUCUGCAUGGGACAUCAAGGUGCGGGUUGCAAAAAAAAAAACUGAUUCAGGACGUCUGUAACCAUGCUGGUUCCCCAUCCUACUGGGCAGGUCUCAGGCACUUUGUGGUGAAGGAGGAAAACUCCUGUACAGCUUCUGCCCUCAGUGUGCCCCAAACACACUGACUGCUCUGGCUGUGGCGGCACUGAUGCCUGCGGGUCACUGGUGGGUGUCUCCAGGGCUUGGUAAGGGGUACGAUGUCAACGUGAUGUCACGCUACGAAAUAAAUUGGAAAAGGCUGGCUUUCAUUUUGCCUCUUUCCUGUAGUAAUGACCGUGGGGAAAUUGGGAGUGUCUGCAGGGAGCGUUAUCUCAUUGCACGUUCAGCAAGGGUGAGGCCAGCUGCAGGCAAGGAGCAGGAGUCCGGCUGUGGUAGCUGCUGCAGGAGGAAACGAGUGACAACCGUUUAAAACUGUCACACACCAAAGGUGUUUUUCUUUCCUUUCCUUUUUUUUUUUUUUUUCCCCAGACUGUCUAUCUGUCUCUAGCCCUGGUUUUGUUCUGUGUUUCCAGCUAGCAUAUAAUUACCAUGAAUUAUACAGCAGAACAGGGUGUGUGCAACCGCACCUUGAACAAGCUGGUUCCCAUUGGCUUGAGCAAUGGCUGGAGAAGGGCACUUUCCCAAGCGCAGCUUCAAACACGCAGUCUGGGAGGCCUGUGCAGAAAACUGGCUUGUUUUAAAACUUCACCAGGUGCUAUAUUGUACCUCUGGUGCCAUUGCUAGCGCACCCUGUAGCUCUUUAAUUAACUAACCAUUGUGUCGCUCUUUGUAGCAGACGCAGAAACAUGAAAGCUCACACAUUAGAACAGUAUUAAAGUGAUACAGAUACUUGCUGUCAACCUUUUUUAACAAAUGUCUGAUGAAUCCUUCUUUUCAUGAUCGGGCAGGGAAAAGUACCCAUCUUGCAGACGUUGAGCCAUUUCUGUAUUUUGGUUUAGGCUUCAGACUAUCCUGUUGCAGAAGGCUUUCAUUCAUUCUUCAGGAAGGCAUCCUAGAGGUUCAACAUGCAAGGUGAUUUUAAAAUGCUGCUGCUUUCAAACACUAAAGUAAAUAUCAAAUCUUUGGCUGGCUGAAAUGUUCCGCAUCAGAGCACACUGGUAGAGAGCCACUGAGCCCACCUGCCUGGAAAUCAGUGCUGUUGCUCAAGCCAAAAUAUAGCAAAACUUAU
rnacentral:lncRNA from 1 species